rnacentral:rRNA from 1 species
CAGCAGCCGCGGUAACACGAAGGGGGCUAGCGUUGCUCGGAAUCACUGGGCGUAAAGGGUGCGCAGGCGGUUUUGUAAGACAGGCGUGAAAUCCCCGGGCUCAACCUGGGAAUGGCGCUUGUGACUGCAAAGCUAGAGUGCGGCAGAGGGGGAUGGAAUUCCGCGUGUAGCAGUGAAAUGCGUAGAUAUGCGGAGGAACACCGAUGGCGAAGGCAAUCCCCUGGGCCUGCACUGACGCUCAUGCACGAAAGCGUGGGGAGCAAACAGGAUUAGAUACCCCUGUAGUCCCUGUCUCUUAUAC